UGCUCAGGUGGCCUUGCAAGUCAGGGGUGAAAGUUCAAAGCUUAACUUUGAAAUUGCCUUUGAUACUGCCGGGCUUGAGUAUGGAAGAGGGUGAUGGAAUUCCUGGUGUAGCAGUGAAAUGCGUAGAUAUCAGGAAGAACACCAGUGGCGAAGGCGGUCAUCUGGUCCACUACUGACACUAAAGCACGAAAGCGUGGGGAUCAAACAGGAUUAGAUACCCUGGUAGUCCACGCCUUAAACGAUGAAUACUAGAUGUUGGGGUUUUCUCAGUAUCGUAGUCAACACGUUAAGUAUUCCACCUGGGGAGUACGAUCGCAAGGUUGAA
rnacentral:rRNA from 1 species